rnacentral:rRNA from 1 species
UACGGAGGGGGCUAGCGUUGUUCGGAAUUACUGGGCGUAAGGCGCGCGUAGGCGGCUUUGUAAGUUAGAGGUGAAAGCCCAGGGCUCAACCCUGGAAUUGCCUUUAAGACUGCAUCGCUUGAACAUCGGAGAGGUAAGUGGAAUUCCGAGUGUAGAGGUGAAAUUCGUAGAUAUUCGGAAGAACACCAGUGGCGAAGGCGACUUACUGGACGAUUGUUGACGCUGAGGUGCGAAAGCGUGGGGAGCAAACAGG